GACUUUGCGGCUGGAGCGCGGCGCGGUGAAGAACCCGCGCGGAGGGCGCCCGGCGUAGGCGGCGGCGGGUGUGGGCCGAGCCGGUAUUUAUAGCUCCGUGACAGCAGCCGCGGCAGCGACGCCGCCGGCCCGUCUCGCUGCGCUUCCCAGCGAGGCCGCCGGCGCGCCGAGGGCUGUGCUCGACCGCGAAUCCCGUGUUGCAGUCGCCCCGCGCCCCGCGCGACCCUUCGGGUAAACUACGAACUGGGACUUUUGAAGAAUGGGUAAAGACUUUCGUUACUAUUUCCAGCAUCCCUGGUCUCGCAUGAUUGUGGCUUACUUGGUGAUCUUCUUUAACUUCUUAAUAUUUGCGGAAGACCCAGUUUCUCAUAGCCAAACAGAAGCCAAUGUUAUUGUUGUUGGAAACUGUUUUUCAUUUGUUACAAAUAAAUACCCUAGAGGAAUUGGCUGGAGGAUUUUGAAGGUGCUUCUAUGGCUACUUGCCAUUCUCACAGGACUAAUAGCUGGCAAAUUUCUGUUCCAUCAGCGUUUGUUUGGUAAGUACCAUGACCCAUGAAAUGUAAUAUUGCUAAUUAUUUAAUUUCUAUUCUCC
rnacentral:sRNA from 1 species